UAGAGUUUGAUCCUGGCUCAGGAUGAACGCUAGCUACAGGCUUAACACAUGCAAGUCGAGGGGAAACGAUAUUGGAAGCUUGCUUCCGAUAGGCGUCGACCGGCGCACGGGUGAGUAACGCGUAUCCAACCUGCCCAUCACUUGGGAAUAACCUUGCGAAAGUAAGACUAAUGCCCAAUGACAUUUAUAGAAGGCAUCGGAAAUGAAUUAAAGAUUUAUCGGUGAUGGAUGGGGAUGCGUCUGAUUAGCUUGUUGGCGGGGUAACGGCCCACCUAGUCUUCGAUGGAUAGGGGUUCUGAGAGGAAGGUCCCCCACAUUGGAACUGAGACACGGUCCAAACUCCUACGGGAGGCAGCAGUGAGGAAUAUUGGUCAAUGGGCGAGAGCCUGAACCAGCCAAGUAGCGUGAAGGAUGACUGCCCUAUGGGUUGUAAACUUCUUUUAUAAAGGAAUAAAGUCGGGUAUGCAUACCCGUUUGCAUGUACUUUAUGAAUAAGGAUCGGCUAACUCCGUGCCAGCAGCCGCGGUAAUACGGAGGAUCCGAGCGUUAUCCGGAUUUAUUGGGUUUAAAGGGAGCGUAGAUGGAUGUUUAAGUCAGUUGUGAAAGUUUGCGGCUCAACCGUAAAAUUGCAGUUGAUACUGGAUAUCUUGAGUGCAGUUGAGGCAGGCGGAAUUCGUGGUGUAGCGGUGAAAUGCUUAGAUAUCACGAAGAACUCCGAUUGCGAAGGCAGCCUGCUAAGCUGCAACUGACAUUGAGGCUCGAAAGUGUGGGUAUCAAACAGGAUUAGAUACCCUGGUAGUCCACACGGUAAACGAUGAAUACUCGCUGUUUGCGAUAUACAGCAAGCGGCCAAGCGAAAGCGUUAAGUAUUCCACCUGGGGAGUACGCCGGCAACGGUGAAACUCAAAGGAAUUGACGGGGGCCCGCACAAGCGGAGGAACAUGUGGUUUAAUUCGAUGAUACGCGAGGAACCUUACCCGGGCUUAAAUUGCAGAUGAAUUACGGUGAAAGCCGUAAGCCGCAAGGCAUCUGUGAAGGUGCUGCAUGGUUGUCGUCAGCUCGUGCCGUGAGGUGUCGGCUUAAGUGCCAUAACGAGCGCAACCCUUGUUGUCAGUUACUAACAGGUUCUGCUGAGGACUCUGACAAGACUGCCAUCGUAAGAUGUGAGGAAGGUGGGGAUGACGUCAAAUCAGCACGGCCCUUACGUCCGGGGCUACACACGUGUUACAAUGGGGGGUACAGAGGGCCGCUACCACGCGAGUGGAUGCCAAUCCCCAAAACCUCUCUCAGUUCGGACUGUAGUCUGCAACCCGACUACACGAAGCUGGAAUCGCUAGUAAUCGCGAAUCAGCAUGUCGCGGUGAAUACGUUCCCGGGUCUUGUACACACCGCCCGUCA
rnacentral:rRNA from 1 species